rnacentral:rRNA from 1 species
UACGUAGGGCGCAAGCGUUGUCCGGAAUUAUUGGGCGUAAAGAGCUUGUAGGCGGCUCGUCACGUCGGGUGUGAAAACUCGCGGCUCAACCGCGAGCCUGCACCCGAUACGGGCGGGCUAGAGUUCGGCAGGGGAGACUGGAAUUCCUGGUGUAGCGGUGGAAUGCGCAGAUAUCAGGAGGAACACCGAUGGCGAAGGCAGGUCACUGGGCCGCAACUGACGCUGAGGAGCGAAAGCAUGGGAGCGAACAGG